CCUAGGUGAGCUCAGACCUGCUUUCUCGUGUAAUGGAUUAAAGUGACCUAUUGUGGCAUUGGAAUACUUUAAAUGGUGUGUGUAGCUCCUGACUAUCAAUAUUAAUCAUUCACCGACAUGAAUCCAUGCAAUCUCUGUACAGAAGAGCAAGCUGAACAGUCCCUCUGAUGAAGACUGGACAUCACCCAGCCAAAGCUGUUAGUUGGCCCACAGAGCACGGAUGAAACUAAAUGAAGAUUUGCUGAACUUUCUCUGUUUCUCCUACAGCUAUCUUUUUGUUUUUUGAAAUAAGAUUCUGUCUGUACCAUGCCAGUGUUUUAUUAGAUGCUCAACCUGUGAGAAAGCUUCUUCUGAUGAUUUGUACAAAAUUUUUCUUACAGAAUUAAUAUCUCACUGCCAUUCAGAUAUUGAUAAGGAUUUUAGGAUUGCCAGAGGUUAAUUAGCCUGGGCUCUAAAGUUUCACCAAUUGGUUUUCAGGCUUUCUUGUGGGGAGGCGGAGGAGGAAGUAUCUGUAUUGAAGUCUUAGGUAUGACAGCAAUUCACACCAACAUGCCCAACCUGAAUUGAGUAGUUCUGAUGGUGAUAACCACAUAACUGUGGUAGUGGGGAGCUGAGGAUGCAACACAAUUUGUGUCUGGAAAACUAUAUAAACCUCAAAUGAUCAGCCAGCCCAUUGCAGUUUCUUACUCCAGUUUGUGUUCUAUCUCUUUCCAUGUAGUAAUCAGUUUUUUAAAUGCAGUUUAAAUACUUGACGUUUUUUUGAUAGUACCCUUAGAGGAUUUCCAUUAGAACUGUAUGAGCAAAUUUAGCUUCUUUUCUUUUCUUUGUUUUUUUUUUUUCUAUGUAGAUAUUUUUGGGAAGUCUGUACUAUGGUUCCACUCUCUGUUUCAUGGGCUUGUGGAUUACGCAUAAACUUGACUUGGUAGCUUCUGAUUUCCUUCAUUUCAGCUGAGACUGACAUGCAAAUAUCCCUGCUCACACUACUUGAAUAUGAAAAGGCUAAGAACUUUAUUACAUCCAGAGCAUUCCUAUAAUAGCAUAGACAACACAGGCUAGAUGUCCUUUGCACAUGCUGCACAGUACAUAUUUGUUCAUUAUGAUGUGCUGUUUAUACACCUAUCUGUAUUAACAUUUACCAUCUGUUUUGCUUCUUGCAUAGUCAGGUGAUGCAGCUGUCCAAGAAUCGGUAAAUUAUUUUACAUAGCAGCUUUAUCAUCUAUGGUUUUCUUUGCGUAACUCUCCCCUCCUAUUUCUAAGCAUAUCCUGCUAGUCUCGUUAACUGUAUAAUUGAUUUUUAUCACCUAUCAGCUCCUACUAAAUAUGCAUAGAUGUCUUUUCAAAGAUAAAAUUCUCCCACUUUUCACCAGUGAAAUUCACAUCUGUGAAUUUUGGCUGUCUAUAUUUAUUUCUUACCCUUAGGACAAUGUUUUGUGAGAGAGGAUUUUAGUGCCUAAGGAACAGACUUAUACAAUACAGCUUGGCAGGUACACAGAUGAUUAUUGUAAUUAGGAAAGGAAAGCCCAGUGCAUAAUGGACAGGUAAACACAUUCACAUGUAACUGCUCAGCACUGGAUUUAAUUUUGUGACCAUGUCCUAGUGACAGGCAUUUUUUCAUAGCUUUGAGAUUUUGGUGGUUCUAUGCUGGCUUACAGUGGCUGAAGAAGUGUCCCAAGAUACUCAACGCUUAGUUUUCAGGAGGUGGCUCUCACUGGUCUCCCUCUUUUUUUCUUUCCUACAACUCUCUCUCAUCACCUGGCCUUGUCAGACUGUGGUCUCAGAACUCAACCUUGUGUACUGAGAGCUGUCUGGAAUUAUGGAACAAGACAGUGUGGGGCAGAGGUAGUUUAAACUAAAUCUAAGGAUGUUAGCUAGGAUGUCAUUAGUGUAGCAAUGCCCAAGGUUACCAGCUCAGUAUGAAUUAGACCGUUGCCCUGAAGAGCACUGUGCUAGCACUGUUAAGCUGCUUCCAGCACUGGAACUGGCUCAUGUGGAGAUAUUUCAACUCUUCCUGCACAGCACUGCUUUUUCUGUAUUAACACACUUUUUUUACCUCUUGGGUAACUUUGCUUUUAAGCCCUGGCUCAGCUUUCAAACCUUAAUUGCUAUCUGUGUCACUGCCUCUCCUGGGAAAGAUCAUCCUUUCAAGUCUCUGAAUAUAUGGAAGAGGGUUUAUGAUGUCAUGUGUAACAGCUACUUCUUUCUGUUUUGGCAAAAUCCAUUCAACUGUCAGUGUUUUUUAACCAAUGUAUUCCAAGAUAGAUCUUACUUAGGAUCUAUCCCAAUGCUUAGAACAAGGAUGCUAUGAAUUUGAGAUGUAAGGCACAAGAGCAAACUCAAGUACAAAAUCCACAUUGUUACAAAAGUACUCAAUAAUAAAAAAAGUCCAUUCCAAAAAUCUUUAUUUGAGCAAUUACUGUUUCAGCUCCAUGCCUUUUGUCACGACGUGUUCUGUGACGAUGCCAAAUGUAAAUAUACUUGCUUUUUUAGGUUUAUGAUGAGUAUAACUCACACAACAUCAAUUCAACCCUUGGGCCUAUUCCUUUUCUAUUGCACUAUUAUGCUCAUGUGCCAUCAGUCAGAUAGGAUGCUUUUUCUUUUAUUUUAUCCUUAUUACGCCAGAUGUCCAUGUUUGUAAGACUAAUUUGGAAACGUGAGGCAGAAUUUUUCUCUUGAAUGAAUGAGGCCAUCUGCUCAGUAGUGGAAUUACAAGGUCUGGGACUGAGGAUGUGCGAAAGAAAAAAGUUUGUUCUCAGACAGAAAGAUUAAUCCUUCCUUAGGGAAAAAAUUUCCCAGUCUGCUCAUUGAUAUCUGUGCUGGCAUCUGUUGUGAUGUUAAACUACAUGGUGACCAAUAAAUCCAGGUAACUGAAACUGUCAGGUUCAUAUUUCUUCCUUGUCCAUGAGAUGUAAGCUAGACAUAUGACUCAUUUAAGCUGAAUAUUCAGUAAUAAUGCUUCUAUAAAAUUGAUUUUAAAGGAAUGGAAGAAAAAUGACUGUAGCUUGCUGUCACAUGCUUCAUGGUCUUUCACCUGGAAUGUUGAUAGGCUACUGAUGGAUCCAUUAGCUCUUCCUAAGCUCUACAGUGAUUUUCUUCUGCAUGGCAAAUGAGAAUAAGCCUAUUGAGGAAUUUGACUUCUCAUUCUGUAAGCAGACAUCACUCAUAUUUAAAUACAUACAUAAUGAGCAUCUGUUUGUAUUCUGUAGUUAGGUUUUAUUUUGCCAGUGUCAUUCCUGUCUGGUUCUGGCUAUACUGAAACAAGGAAAACCAGUGAGCUGAUGCCACUAAAGUGAGUCAAGCCGAGCAUACAGUUUAAUUGUGUAAGCACAUCUGAUUUCCUCUACAUUUAAUUCAAGGAAAUAUAACUAUUUUGAUCACGUGCCAAAAAUGUGAGAUAAACAUGUCUAACUAAUAAAAUAUUAAAAGACAAAUAAUGAGGCAUAAAAGUCAUAAGUACAUACACCUACAUAGUACCAGUAUGUGCCUACACUGGACUGUGUAGGAGGCCUCAUACUCACAGAUGUUUAUUCUUUUUAUCAGAAUCAGAUAGUUGUCUUCCACAUUAAAAGGAAACUGAGGUCUGAAUUGAGUGAAAUCUGAAGAAGUAGAGGAGUCUAUCCCAGGAAAGA